rnacentral:rRNA from 1 species
GAUGAACGCUGGCGGCGUGCCUAAUACAUGCAAGUCGAGCGAACGGACGAGAAGCUUGCUUCUCUGAUGUUAGCGGCGGACGGGUGAGUAACACGUGGAUAACCUACCUAUAAGACUGGGAUAACUUCGGGAAACCGGAGCUAAUACCGGAUAAUAUUUUGAACCGCAUGGUUCAAAAGUGAAAGACGGUCUUGCUGUCACCUAUAGAUGGAUCCGCGCUGCAUUAGCUAGUUGGUAAGGUAACGGCUUACCAAGGCAACGAUGCAUAGCCGACCUGAGAGGGUGAUCGGCCACACUGGAACUGAGACACGGUCCAGACUCCUACGGGAGGCAGCAGUCGGGAAUCUUCCGCAAUGGGCGAAAGCCUGACGGAGCAACGCCGCGUGAGUGAUGAAGGUCUUCGGAUCGUAAAACUCUGUUAUUAGGGAAGAACAUAUGUGUAAGUAACUGUGCACAUCUUGACGGUACCUAAUCAGAAAGCCACGGCUAACUACGUG